AUUGAACGCUGGCGGCAGGCCUAACACAUGCAAGUCGAGCGGAUGAGAAGAGCUUGCUCUUCGAUUCAGCGGCGGACGGGUGAGUAAUGCCUAGGAAUCUGCCUGGUAGUGGGGGACAACGUUUCGAAAGGAACGCUAAUACCGCAUACGUCCUACGGGAGAAAGCAGGGGACCUUCGGGCCUUGCGCUAUCAGAUGAGCCUAGGUCGGAUUAGCUAGUUGGUGAGGUAAUGGCUCACCAAGGCGACGAUCCGUAACUGGUCUGAGAGGAUGAUCAGUCACACUGGAACUGAGACUCGGGCCAGACGCCUACGGGAGGCAGCAGUGGGGAAUAUUGGACAGUGGGCGAAAGCCUGAUCCAGCCAGGCCGCGUGUGUGAAGAAGGUCUUCGGAUUGUAAAGCACUUUAAGUUGGGAGGAAGGGCAGUAAGUUAAUACCUUGCUGUUUUGACGUUACCGACAGAAUAAGCACCGGCUAACUCUGUGCCAGCCGCCGCCGUAAGAC
rnacentral:rRNA from 1 species